GGGGAUGGAACGAAAGCAGCAGGUUCUCUGGAAACAGACGAGGAAAAACCGAACAUGUGGUUCAGGUUAUAAGGACAGAAGUAGUACGUAUAGACUGAGGUUAUGAGGAUAGAAGUAGUACGUAUAGACUGAGGUUAUAAGGAUAGAAGUAGUACGUAUAGACUGAGGUUAUAAGGACAGAAGUAGUACGUAUAGACUGAGGUUAUAAGGAUAGAAGUAGUACGUAUAGACUGAGGUUAUAAGGACAGAAGUAGUACGUAUAGACUGAGGUUAUAAGGACAGAAGUAGUACGUAUAGACUGAGGUUAUAAGGACAGAAGUAGUACGUAUAGACUGAGGUUAUAAGGAUAGAAGUAGUACGUAUAGACUGAGGUUAUAAGGACAGAAGUAGUACGUAUAGACUGAGGUUAUAAGGAUAGAAGUAGUACGUAUAGACUGAGGUUAUAAGGAUAGAAGUAGUACGUAUAGACUGAGGUUAUAAGGACAGAAGUAGUACGUAUAGACUGAGGUUAUAAGGACAGAAGUAGUACGUAUAGACUGAGGUUAUAAGGACAGAAGUAGUACGUAUAGACUGAGGUUAUAAGGACAGAAGUAGUACGAAUAGACUGAGGUUAUGAGUACAGAAGUAGUACGUAUAGACUGAGGUUAUAAGGACAGAAGUAGUACGUAUAGACUGAGGUUAUAAGGAUAGAAGUAGUACGUAUAGACUGAGGUUAUAAGGAUAGAAGUAGUACGUAUAGACUGAGGUUAUGAGGACAGAAGUAGUACGAAUAGACUGAGGUUAUGAGUACAGAAGUAGUACGUAUAGACUGAGGUUAUAAGGACAGAAGUAGUACGUAUAGACUGAGGUUAUAAGGAUAGAAGUAGUACGUAUAGACUGAGGUUAUAAGGACAGAAGUAGUACGUAUAGACUGAGGUUAUAAGGAUAGAAGUAGUACGUAUAGACUGAGGUUAUAAGGACAGAAAUAGUACGUAUAGACUGAGGUUAUAAGGGCAGAAGUAGUACGUAUAGACUGAGGUUAUAAGGACAGAAGUAGUAUGUAUAGACUGAGGUUAUAAGGACAGAAAUAGUACGUAUAGACUGAGGUUAUAAGGGCAGAAGUAGUACGUAUAGACUGAGGUUAUAAGGACAGAAGUAGUACGUAUAGACUGAGGUUAUAAGGACAGAAGUAGUACGUAUAGACUGAGGUUAUAAGGACAGAAAUAGUACGUAUAGACUGAGGUUAUAAGGAUAGAAGUAGUACGUAUAGACUGAGGUUAUAAGGGUAGAAGUAGUACGUAUAGACUGAGGUUAUAAGGGUAGAAGUAGUACGUAUAGACUGAGGUUAUAAGGGUAGAAGUAGUACGUAUAGACUGAGGUUAUGAGGACAGAAGUAGUACGAAUAGACUGAGGUUAUGAGUACAGAAGUAGUACGUAUAGACUGAGGUUAUGAGGAUAGAAGUAGUACGUAUAGACUGAGGCUAUGAGGAUAGAAGUAGUACGUAUAGACUGAGGUUAUGAGGAUAGAAGUAGUACGUAUAGACUGAGGUUAUAAGGAUAGAAGUAGUACGUAUAGACUGAGGCUAUGAGUACAGAAGUAGUACGUAUAGACUGAGGUUAUGAGGAUAGAAGUAGUACGUAUAGACUGAGGUUAUAAGGGUAGAAGUAGUACGUAUAGACUGAGGUUAUGAGGAUAGAAGUAGUACGUAUAGACUGAGGCUAUGAGUACAGAAGUAGUACGUAUAGACUGAGGUUAUGAGGAUAGAAGUAGUACGUAUAGACUGAGGCUAUGAGUACAGAAGUAGUACGUAUAGACUGAGGCUAUGAGGAUAGAAGUAGUACGUAUAGACUGAGGUUAUGAGGACAGAAGUAGUACGAAUAGACUGAGGUUAUGAGUACAGAAGUAGUACGUAUAGACUGAGGUUAUGAGGAUAGAAGUAGUACGUAUAGACUGAGGUUAUAAGGACAGAAAUAGUACGUAUAGACUGAGGUUAUAAGGAUAGAAGUAGUACGUAUAGACUGAGGUUAUAAGGACACAAGUAGUACGUAUAGACUGAGGUUAUAAGGGCAGAAGUAGUACGUAUAGACUGAGGUUAUAAGGACAGAAGUAGUACGUAUAGACUGAGGUUAUAAGGACAGAAGUAGUACGUAUAGACUGAGGUUAUAAGGGUAGAAGUAGUACGUAUAGACUGAGGUUAUAAGGGUAGAAGUAGUACGUAUAGACUGAGGUUAUGAGGACAGAAGUAGUACGAAUAGACUGAGGUUAUGAGUACAGAAGUAGUACGUAUAGACUGAGGUUAUGAGUACAGAAGUAGUACGUAUAGACUGAGGCUAUGAGGAUAGAAGUAGUACGUAUAGACUGAGGUUAUGAGGAUAGAAGUAGUACGUAUAGACUGAGGUUAUAAGGAUAGAAGUAGUACGUAUAGACUGAGGCUAUGAGUACAGAAGUAGUACGUAUAGACUGAGGUUAUGAGGAUAGAAGUAGUACGUAUAGACUGAGGUUAUAAGGGUAGAAGUAGUACGUAUAGACUGAGGUUAUGAGGACAGAAGUAGUACGAAUAGACUGAGGUUAUGAGUACAGAAGUAGUACGUAUAGACUGAGGUUAUGAGGAUAGAAGUAGUACGUAUAGACUGAGGUUAUGAGUACAGAAGUAGUACGUAUAGACUGAGGUUAUGAGGAUAGAAGUAGUACGUAUAGACUGAGGCUAUGAGGAUAGAAGUAGUACGUAUAGACUGAGGUUAUGAGGAUAGAAGUAGUACGUAUAGACUGAGGUUAUAAGGAUAGAAGUAGUACGUAUAGACUGAGGCUAUGAGUACAGAAGUAGUACGUAUAGACUGAGGUUAUGAGGAUAGAAGUAGUACGUAUAGACUGAGGCUAUGAGGAUAGAAGUAGUACGUAUAGACUGAGGUUAUGAGGAUAGAAGUAGUACGUAUAGACUGAGGCUAUGAGUACAGAAGUAGUACGUAUAGACUGAGGUUAUGAGGAUAGAAGUAGUACGUAUAGACUGAGGCUAUGAGGAUAGAAGUAGUACGUAUAGACUGAGGUUAUGAGGAUAGAAGUAGUACGUAUAGACUGAGGUUAUAAGGAUAGAAGUAGUACGUAUAGACUGAGGUUAUGAGGACAGAAGUAGUACGUAUAGACUGAGGCUAUGAGUACAGAAGUAGUACGUAUAGACUGAGGUUAUGAGGAUAGAAGUAGUACGUAUAGACUGAGGCUAUGAGUACAGAAGUAGUACGUAUAGACUGAGGUUAUGAGGAUAGAAGUAGUACGUAUAGACUGAGGCUAUGAGGAUAGAAGUAGUACGUAUAGACUGAGGUUAUGAGGAUAGAAGUAGUACGUAUAGACUGAGGUUAUAAGGAUAGAAGUAGUACGUAUAGACUGAGGUUAUGAGGACAGAAGUAGUACGUAUAGACUGAGGCUAUGAGUACAGAAGUAGUACGUAUAGACUGAGGCUAUGAGGAUAGAAGUAGUACGUAUAGACUGAGGUUAUGAGGAUAGAAGUAGUACGUAUAGACUGAGGUUAUAAGGAUAGAAGUAGUACGUAUAGACUGAGGUUAUGAGGACAGAAGUAGUACGUAUAGACUGAGGCUAUGAGUACAGAAGUAGUACGUAUAGACUGAGGUUAUGAGUACAGAAGUAGUACGUAUAGACUGAGGCUAUGAGUACAGAAGUAGUACGUAUAGACUGAGGUUAUGAGGAUAGAAGUAGUACGUAUAGACUGAGGUUAUGAGUACAGAAGUAGUACGUAUAGACUGAGGUUAUGAGGAUAGAAGUAGUACGUAUAGACUGAGGCUAUGAGUACAGAAGUAGUACGUAUAGACUGAGGUUAUGAGGAUAGAAGUAGUACGUAUAGACUGAGGCUAUGAGGAUAGAAGUAGUACGUAUAGACUGAGGUUAUGAGGAUAGAAGUAGUAUGUAUAGACUUAGGUUAUAAGGACAGAAGUAGUACGUAUAGACUGAGGCUAUAAGGACAGAAGUAGUACGUAUAGACUGAGUUUAUAAGGACAGAAGUAGUACGUAUAGACUGAGUUUAUAAGGAUAGAAGUAGUACGUAUAGACUGAGGUUAUGAGGACAGAAGUAGUACGUAUAGACUGAGGCUAUAAGGACAGAAGUAGUACGUAUAGACUGAGUUUAUAAGGAUAGAAGUAGUACGUAUAGACUGAGGCUAUAAGGACAGAAGUAGUACGUAUAGACUGAGGCUAUAAGGACAGA